rnacentral:rRNA from 1 species
AUGAACGCUGGCGGCGUGCCUCAUACAUGCAAGUCGAGCGAACAGACGAGGAGCUUGCUCCUCUGACGUUAGCGGCGGACGGGUGAGUAACACGUGGAUAACCUACCUAUAAGACUGGGAUAACUUCGGGAAACCGGAGCUAAUACCGGAUAAUAUAUUGAACCGCAUGGUUCAAUAGUGAAAGACGGUUUUGCUGUCACUUAUAGAUGGAUCCGCGCCGCAUUAGCUAGUUGGUAAGGUAACGGCUUACCAAGGCAACGAUGCGUAGCCGACCUGAGAGGGUGAUCGGCCACACUGGAACUGAGACACGGUCCAGACUCCUACGGGAGGCAGCAGUAGGGAAUCUUCCGCAAUGGGCGAAAGCCUGACGGAGCAACGCCGCGUGAGUGAUGAAGGUCUUCGGAUCGUAAAACUCUGUUAUUAGGGAAGAACAAAUGUGUAAGUAACUAUGCACGUCCUGACGGUACCUAAUCAGAAAGCCACGGCUAACUACGUG